rnacentral:rRNA from 1 species
UACGUAGGGUCCGAGCGUUGUCCGGAAUUAUUGGGCGUAAAGAGCUCGUAGGCGGUUUGUCGCGUCUGCCGUGAAAGUCCGGGGCUCAACCCCGGGCCUGCAGUGGGUACGGGCUGACUAGAGUGCGGUAGGGGAGACUGGAAUUCCUGGUGUAGCGGUGAAAUGCGCAGAUAUCAGGAGGAACACCGGUGGCGAAGGCGGGUCUCUGGGCCGUAACUGACGCUGAGGAGCGAAAGCGUGGGGAGCGAACAGG